CCUACGGGUGGCAGCAGUGGGGAAUUUUGGACAAUGGGCGCAAGCCUGAUCCAGCCAUGCCGCGUGAGUGAAGAAGGCCUUCGGGUUGUAAAGCUCUUUCGGCGGGGACGAAACGGUCCGUGACAACACCACGGACUAAUGACGGUACUCGCAGAAGAAGCACCGGCUAACUACGUGCCAGCAGCCGCGGUAAUACGUAGGGUGCAGGCGUUAAUCGGAAUUACUGGGCGUAAAGCGUGCGCAGGCGGCUCUUUAAGUCAGAUGUGAAAGCCCCGGGCUUAACCUGGGAAUUGCGUUUGAAACUGGAGAGCUGGAGUGUGGAAGAGGGGGGUGGAAUUCCAGGUGUAGCAGUGAAAUGCGUAGAGAUCUGGAGGAACACCGAUGGCGAAGGCAGCCCCCUGGGCUAACACUGACGCUCAUGCACGAAAGCGUGGGGAGCA
rnacentral:rRNA from 1 species